GGCCUACGGGACGCAGCAGUGGGGAAUAUUGCACAAUGGGGGAAACCCUGAUGCAGCGACGCCGCGUGAGUGAAGAAGUAUUUCGGUACGUAAAGCUCUAUCAGCAGGGAAGAAAAAAAGUCCUUUGGACUUUGGACGGUACCUGACUAAGAAGCCCCGGCUAACUACGUGCCAGCAGCCGCGGUAAUACGUAGGGGGCAAGCGUUAUCCGGAUUUACUGGGUGUAAAGGGAGCGUAGACGGCAGCGCAAGUCUGGAGUGAAAUGCCGGGGCCCAACCCCGGAACUGCUUUGGAAACUGUGCAGC
rnacentral:rRNA from 1 species